CUCUCUCUCUCGCCCUCGCUCUAUGUCCAUCUUUCAUCUAUGAGUUCACUCCCGCCGGCAUCAGUGUGUUGAUACACCUUCACCAAGCCGACACUGUCGCCUACUCUCUCUCAAUCUCGUCAUCGAUCUCAGUCAGUGCAUGGAUAUCACCUCUUUAAGAGCUUUAGGAAUCUUCAAUGUUUAAUCGGUACCUCUCAAGGCAUUGCAGAUCCAAAAUUUGUAUUUUUAUUUGCAGUUUGCACUCAUCUGUUUCCAUCUCUCUUUUACUUCCUUUGAAAACCCUAGAGUUGAAGUAUCAAAGCAAGCAGGUUGAAGAGGUUACCUUCACAAACUGGAAUAUAUAGAAUUUCCAAUUAUGUUUUCCGUUCAAAAUUCAUUUUGUCCCUGCAGUCUCAAUAGAGCCAUACGCUUGGAUGAGAAACCAAAUAAGAUAGAGAAUGUAAUUUUCUCAUCGCUCAUGGAUAGAGCCAUUGCCUUGCCUUCUUCACAAAAUAGGUGCAUUGGAGAUUCUGUUGAUCCUUUUGCUUCAAGCUCGUG